AAACCAACAGGGAUUGCCUCAGUAACGGCGAGUGAAGCGGCAAAAGCUCAAAUUUGAAAUCUAGUGUCUUUCGGCGCUCGAGUUGUAAUUUGAAGAUGGCGACUUUGGGGGUGGCCUUUAUCUAUGUUCCUUGGAACAGGACGUCACAGAGGGUGAGAAUCCCGUCUGAUGAGGUGACCCAUCCCUUUGUAAAGCGCUUUCGAAGAGUCGAGUUGUUUGGGAAUGCAGCUCUAAGUGGGUGGUAAAUUCCAUCUAAAGCUAAAUAUUGGCGAGAGACCGAUAGCGAACAAGUACAGUGAUGGAAAGAUGAAAAGAACUUUGAAAAGAGAGUGAAAAAGUACGUGAAAUUGUUGAAAGGGAAGGGUAUUAGAUCAGACUUGGUGUUGUGUGAUUAUCUUCCCCUUGUGGGUUGUGCACUCGCGCUUCACUGGGCCAGCAUCGAUUGGGGUGGCGGGAUAAGUGCUUAGGAACGUAGCUUUUCCUUCGGGGAUUGUGUUAUAGCCUCUGCCCAUACCGCCCGUCUCGAUCGAGGACUGCGUCUUUUGACUAGGAUGCUGGCGUAAUGAUCUAAUAUCGC
rnacentral:rRNA from 1 species